AGCCCUGAGAUGAGUCUUCCCUGACAGUUUAACUGUCCUAAAGGGUUGUUCGAGACUAGAACGUUGAUAGGCAGGGUGUGUAAGCGUUGUGAGGCGUUGAGCUAACCUGUACUAAUUGCCCGUGAGGCUUAACCAUACAACACCCAAGGGGUUUUGUA
rnacentral:rRNA from 1 species